rnacentral:rRNA from 1 species
UACGUAGGUGGCAAGCGUUAUCCGGAAUUAUUGGGCGUAAAGCGCGCGCAGGCGGUUCUUUAAGUCUGGUGUUUAAGUGCGGGGCUCAACCCCGUGACGCACUGGAAACUGGGGAACUUGAGUGCAGAAGAGGAGAGCGGAAUUCCACGUGUAGCGGUGAAAUGCGCAGAGAUGUGGAGGAACACCAGCGGCGAAGGCGGCUCUCUGGACUGUAACUGACGCUGAGGCGCGAAAGCGUGGGGAGCAAACAGG